rnacentral:rRNA from 1 species
UACGUAGGGUGCUAGCGUUGUCCGGAAUCAUUGGGCGUAAAGCGCGUGUAGGCGGUCCGGUAAGUCCGCUGUGAAAGUCGGGGGCUCAACCCUCGGAUGCCGGUGGAUACUGUCGGGCUUGAGUACGGAAGAGGCGAGUGGAAUUCCUGGUGUAGCGGUGAAAUGCGCAGAUAUCAGGAGGAACACCAAUUGCGAAGGCAGCUCGCUGGGACGUUACUGACGCUGAGACGCGAAAGCGUGGGGAGCAAACAGG